CAAAGAUUUCUCUAUUUCAGUAUAUCAUUGCAGAUCUGCUCUUGAAGCUUUAAAGGUGUACAGUAUACUCACUAUGCCUUGCAAUGUUUUUUCUUAUCUUUGCACUCUAUUCGAUUGUCAAUUUCAUUCUCUAAUGCUGUACAGUAUACUCACUAUGCCUUGCAAUGUUUUUUCUUAUCUUUCCACUCUAUUCGAGUGUCCAUUUUCAUUCCUUCAUGCUGUGAUCUUUUCUUUUUUUGAAGCUAUCUGCAUAUCAAACUGCAAUAGAUAGAAAGAAGAAGAAACAUUGUCGCUUCCUUUAGGCUUAAAUAAUCGAUGUGAUUUUAGACAACUGAAAACCUCGAAAUAGGGAAUGUCUCUAUAUAUAUACUGAUGGAUGUUCAUUGUCUCUGCAGAGAUGAUAUAACUACCAAAUUAAUUUUUCAGCUGUAUCCUACAAGGUUGGUCUCACAUGUGAUACAAGGUUGGUCUCACGUGCUUAGACUGUGGUAUCCUACUUUCGUUAUCUGUUUUUCUUUGGCUUUAUUAACAUACGAAUGGGAACAACAAAUAAUUUCUGGAUGAAAGCAAAAAUAUUUUGUGGUUCUCAUCAUAUCAGCGUGUAAUCAUUGGACUUGUUUCCUUCUGAAUAUGAGGAGUUUGGGUAAGAUGUUUGAAGGAACAAGGUUACAUUGUUGUUGGAAUAUACUUCUAACACAGAAUCUUAGACCCCUAUAUAUUAACUUGUAUCUUACCUUAGCCACUUUAUAUGUUUUCAUUGUUUUGCGUUCAACAAAGCAAUGGAUAGAAUUUCAUUUUUCAUAUAUACUUUAUGGCAGCAGCAACAACAGAUAUGACCAUUAAGUUGCAUAUGGUGGCGUGUAGGGCAAAGCAAAAAAAGUGAACCCAACCACCCGAACUGAACCCAUUGGUUGGUUUCAAACAUUGGGUUGAUCGGUUCCGGUUGAUAUGUGAGCAAUUUUUGAUUGGUGGAUCAAUUUGUGGUUGAAAUAUUUUCAAUUUUGUCAAAACCAAACCAGAAAGAUUACUGAAGGUUACAUGUUGAGAGAUAAAAAUUCGAGUAGAGCAACCAACAAUCACAAUUGCUCAAAAAUCUAAUUUGGGCAACUGCCGCAAGAAAGCAAACGUUACCGGCCAGAGUGAGGCUCCUCAAAACCCCUCUGGCGUGUCGAUCAGGUCUUUUGAAGAGAAAAUAGAAAUCUAAAUCAAAUAUAGCUCUAGACAAAGGCACAAUUGGUAUUACACGUUUCUAGAGAUAGGAGAGCGACUUUUAUAGGUGGAUCUCAAUGGCGUAAGGAGAAGGUGAUACAAUUAUAGGACUCAACCGUGUAUAGAGAUAAUGGUGUAAUGGUCGGAGAUCGUGGGAGGAGAUCAUAGAAUGAUUGGCGGAGGUCGUGGUAAAGGAGCCAUCUAGAGGUCGUAGGUUUCUCGGCUUGGAGAAUUUGGUGACAAGAACAACCAGACAAUUGUUAUUGGCGAGGUGAACUACUGGAUGUUGUCUUUUAGCGACGGAUAACCGGUGUGAUCACGGGCGAAGUAGGGCGACAUAGUCAUCUCCAGAUGAGCUUAUUUCCCUUCUCGAAAGCUAUUGGGUAGCGGAAAUCGAUUCCUUAUCACAUGGGCUCCGCAAAGAAAUGAUACUUUUCACCUACCAAAUCUGCUUUCCCCAUUCAAAGCCGUUAUAGUCUAAAAGGAGAGAGAAUUUCAAACUUCCCCCAAAUUCUUCCCCUUCCCUCUUCUCUCUUCUUGUGUGGUGAGCCGGUGAGCCUUUUCGUCUCUGCUGGUUGGCUCUGAGUCCCCUCUUCAUCUUCCCUCCCCUCUUCUCGCUCAAACUAGUCAAUUUGAAACAUUAUAGCCUAGAAUCCUAAAUCAAUGAUAUGACCUCAAGCGUUCCAAACAUGGCGAGCUUAAGCCUGGCCCAAGCACUUCAGCCUGAAGCAAUAAAGGCCUCCAAACCAAAGAAAAAGGUUGGUGGUGUGUUUGCUGCGAAACCGCUGACUGAACCACCCCACAACAAAACCUGUCAAACCGAAAUGUUUUUGGGGUUUUGCAGUUUGGUCGUUAGUUUCUGUGGGAGGAUAAAUAUUCUUCAAAACCGCUCUUGUUGGGACGGUUGACGGUUUUGGCCAAUCGAGGCCACCCCCGACCUGUGCUCAAGCCCUGGUGGCCGUGUAUGCUGCUGGUCAUUGUGUUUUCCCCAAAAUUCCACCAUUUUUUUUUUUUUUUUUUUUUGAGGGUUCCGGUUUGGGAUGUGACAUUUGCAACCAACCUCCCUCCUUUAUCCCCUUCCACCAAGAUGACGUCCAUUCCACAAGUAUAAUUGCCAUCUUUCCAACAAUGAUUUUAAUGUCCUAUCUUUUGGAAAUCCAAAGUAUAAUUGUUAUUUUAUGUUCCUACUGGGAAGAUAUUCCAAACUUUGCAAUAGGGCCCAUGCUGCUAAAAACUAAAAGGCAUGGCCCGAAUGACUUUCUUAGUCACAUUAACAAAAAGUUAAUAGAAGACGUUCAUAUAACGUGAUUCAUUUUUGCAGUACAAAAUAAAAUGCUCUUAGAAUUGGGAGCAAUGAUUAUUCCGUGCCAGUCCAGUAUAGACAGAUGGGUCGUUGUGACUGCUACUCAAAUUGGACCGUUCAUCAUGGUCAUUACGAAUUGGGGUCAUUUGAUGCAGGAAAUCCUAAGAGGAAAUAGCUUGUGCUUUUCACAAAGAGAACUUGAUCAGAACCUUAUCAGAUGAUGAUAUAUGUACUUUGUUAAAUUGUGCAAGGAUGAUUUCCUUGAUGUUGUUUUUGCGAAUGUCAGGAAUGAGUGUUCGUUCUGUAUUUCAUUGAUUGAUGUGGAAUGGUGGUUUAUCUGGAAAUUCUCAUAUAAGACUAAUUUUCAUGUGUUUACUGUUGUCACAUGCCUGAGAAAGUUAGAAGUUAAGCCAACGACCAGCUAUCAUUUCCAAAAAUUGCAUAAAAAUUAACCUGCAUGCUAAAAUG
rnacentral:lncRNA from 1 species